UCUCGUGUGGCUCACUUGGUAGAGCAUGGUUUUUGCAAUGCCAGGGUUGUGGGUUUGCUUCCCACGUCAAGAG
rnacentral:tRNA from 1 species